rnacentral:tRNA from 1 species
GGGGCCGUAGUCUAGCUUCGACUCGCCUAGGCGACGAGGCGCUGGAAAGGGAUGACGACGGGCUCCAGACCCGUAGGUCGUCGGUUCAAAUCCGGCCGGCCCCACCA